rnacentral:lncRNA from 1 species
UUUGGGGGGGGGGAGGGUCAAAGUUAUUCACGCCGGUGUGUAGCUGCGGCCAAAUAGCGGUGGAGCUAAGAAGUAACAGCGAUGGAGGUUUACGGCCGAUGCCAGAUUCGUGGAAAGUGUAUUCAAGUAUUCUCGAGGAAUCUCGUAUGAUUUACGAUAAGAGAGAGAGAGAGAGAGAGAGAGAGAGAGAGAGAGACAGACAGAGACAGAGACAGAGACAGAGUUGCCUAUGAAACGGCGAGGAAAAUUAUUUUCGUAUCCGUCCCACUUUCAAGAACCAGUCAACGAUUUACACUCCUGAUACGUCGAUUCCGUGGCCCUUGUGCGACAAUGUACAACAUCCCUCCAUUCCUUAAAAAUGGAAGCAACGAAAAUGCAUUCCGCCUCGGCGGAAUGCGCGCACGUUGCAUAGGAAACGGAGACACUGAUUUCUCCUUUAUUUCUGCUUCGUGGUGAUAUGUCUCGACAGAAAUAUCCCUUGUAUUCGUGAGCUUUGAUAUUCGUAGGUGGACGUAUACGUAUGUAUCGUUUCGAAUAUCGAGAUCUUUUUCUUUGUCAAGCAGUCGUGCAUAUCUUUUUUGAAGAUCUUGAAUUUGGUUUGGUUAGGUAUAUACAAUUUCGAGUAUAUAAGAUCUCUUUCUUUGUUUCAGGAAUUAAUGUGAACAUGUAAUCGGACACUAAUGUAUUCUUAUGAUUACUGAUAUAUUAUUUAUCCAUUAUGUGAAUUUGAAGACAGAAUAGACUCAACGUGAUCCUUGCAUGUCAUAAAAGACAAUUAAAAAAGAAGCCAUUAAUGAAUACUUGACAAAUUUAUGGAAUAUGCAAUUAUGGUGUAUCUGAACAAAGAUUAAUAAAUAAUUCAAAGUGUGGAAAAACGAAAGGUUCAUCGAUAUCCCCGGCAAUUGUGUCAGAAUUCGACGAUAUACACGCGUUAGCAACAAAAUGGCGACAAGCCGAACUGAUUUUAUUCACGACCUUUGUCGCGGAAGUACUUUAGAUGCGGGUGGUGGGCCGCAGAGGAAAAAUAGCGGAAAGUUUUCCAUUUUAGAUGGGCCACCGAUAAAGGAAAGAGAGGCACGUAUAAUGG